AUAAAUGAAAAUGAUCGUAUGUUUACAACCACAUGGUUGCAGAUUAGGCACUCAAACAUGGCCCACAUGACCCAUGCCCCACGAUAGUGCAACAAGGUGGUGCAAAAUACGGAGAUUCAGCAUGGGGGUAUUUUCGUAAUUUCAUUACCCACCCACGACUUUGGUCCUUGCUCUUCAAAUUCGGCAUGGUGGCACUCCCCUUGCGAGUGGGGCCCGCCGAGAAACGGAGCGAAUCCUAGACAAGCUCGUAAUCUUUUCCUCUUUUGAGGAUCCGCGUUGGUCCCACUUCUGGCAUUAUAUUCAAAUCCAAGGGCCCAUAUCUCACCACCAGCCAAAUCAGCUUCGCGCCCUUUGACGGCGACGAUUUUUUGCAGAAAAUAAAAAUAAUAUUCAUUUGUCAGAUUAUUUUUAAUUGAGAAUUAAUAUAUGAUUUUUUAAAUAAUUUAUUUAAACAGAAUCUGAACAUGCU
rnacentral:lncRNA from 1 species